CAGAUUGAACGCUGGCGGCAUGCCUUACACAUGCAAGUCGAACGGCAGCACGGGCUUCGGCCUGGUGGCGAGUGGCGAACGGGUGAGUAAUACAUCGGAACGUGCCCUGUUGUGGGGGAUAACCAGUCGAAAGAUUGGCUAAUACCGCAUACGACCUGAGGGUGAAAGCGGGGGACCGCAAGGCCUCGCGCAGCAGGAGCGGCCGAUGUCUGAUUAGCUAGUUGGUGGGGUAAAGGCCCACCAAGGCGACGAUCAGUAGCUGGUCUGAGAGGACGAUCAGCCACACUGGGACUGAGACACGGCCCAGACUCCUACGGGAGGCAGCAGUGGGGAAUUUUGGACAAUGGGGGCAACCCUGAUCCAGCAAUGCCGCGUGUGUGAAGAAGGCCUUCGGGUUGUAAAGCACUUUUGUCCGGAAAGAAAACCUCUGCCCUAAUACGGNGGGGGGAUGACGUACCG
rnacentral:rRNA from 1 species